rnacentral:lncRNA from 1 species
GGUCUCACUAUGAACUUCAGGCUAGCCUUCAUGGAUUCUUCUAUCUCCAACCCCCAAAUGCUGGGAUUCUAUCAAACCUGCCAAGCAGACAUUUUGAUUCCAACUGUAUCCCCAGGAUGUUCCCACCCCCAUCAGAAUUCCUUGAAUUUCAUUGGUGGAUCUAAAUCAGCCACAGACGGAGGCUCACAAAUGAAGGUCCCUGCGCAAGACACUGCUGUGAGCAAUGAGCAUAGUGAAGUCUGCACUGCCAGUGUGGGAAACGUAAGCUUGACUUUAGGACCUCACAGACCUGGAUGAGACCCCUGGCUCUGCCCCGCCCCCACUUCUGUGACGCUGGUGAGCUGACCCCUCUGUAUUGGAGUUGUCUAACGGACCAGAACUAACAAAAGUUCACUUACUAGAACGUCUCAAUCAACAAGGACUGGGUCAUCCAACAGUGUCCUCCUGCGCAAAGGAGGGGCCUGAGAACCCGGUAGCUGCUCAGUACACACAGAUGAACCCUCAGCAGUCCCAGUAUGGCACCAAAAGCCUGGAAAGUUCCUGGAGCCUCUAAUCUUCAGUCCACAUUGAAACCCAAAGACACGAGUGUGAGGUCAGUGGAAGAUGGCUCCAGCAAAGAUAGCAACAGAGACGAACAUGCUCACCACAGAAAGUAUCAGCAGCAAGGAAAGACACGCUAACCACGGGAAAUACCAGCAGCAGAGGUGGCAUGCUCACCACCGAGACACAAAGGCAGGAAGGAGACGCUACCCUUUCCUUGGGCCACUCUUUUGGUGUCAGCAAGAGGAUACAUCCCUGUCCUUGAUCCUGAGUCCUCUGCUAGAGUGCUUUCCCUGUUCUCAGCCAGGUCAUCACGCACGCUACAGACAACCGCCCAGGAUUCCAGGAUACAGGCUUCUCAAAGACAAAGUCACUGCCCCAAUAGAGGACAGACUCCAGCUUUUCCUUCCACAAGGUUUCUUGCAAGUGUGUGUGUGUGUGUGUGUGCAUGUGCGUGUGCACGUGUGUGUGUGUGUGUGUGUGGUGUGUGUGUGUGUGUGUGUAAGCAAGUGUAAAUAUCAGUUAUCUUUCUCAACUACUCUCCACUAUUUUUGUUGUUGCUGCUGUUGUUUUGUUUGAUUUGGUUUUGUUUGGGGGCAAGAUUGUCUGUCUUUUGUUUUGUUUUUGAGACAGGGUCUCUCAUUGAAUGAAGAGCUGAUUUGACUGAUUUGAAAACAAGCCCAAGGGAAUCUUCCAGCCUGUCUCUGCCUCCCCAGCUCUGAGAUUACAGGCAUGCACACUUGACUCUUUCUAGAGUUCUGAAAACUCCAAACUCAAAUCCUCACAGUUGCUGAGAAAGCACUUUUGUAGCUGGGCCAGGUCCCCAACCCCUGGGCUCUCUCUGUACUCUGCCUCAUGAAACACAAAACCACUCAGGAUGUUUGCCAAAUGUUCCAGUUGUCAAAUAAAAGGAAGACCAUCAGAGGCCUGACA